GUCUGCAGCCACAGCGGCUUGCAUGCGCCCGAUCUUGUCUGACCUCGGGAGCUGAGCAGGGCCGGCCCUGCUAGUACCCGGAUGGGAGAAGGUAAUGUCGAGAGCAGCAUCUC
rnacentral:rRNA from 1 species